rnacentral:misc_RNA from 1 species
UUGUGCGACACCACUGCUUGUGGCCGGCGGGGCAACGACAAACACCAAGCCGAAGUGGUCCGCUCUCGAAGAAAGAUUGAAGAUUAUGCAUCAGCGACAAGUAACGACCGCCCGGAAAGAGAGCCGGAAAAAAGGCAGGAAAUCGCCACCGCUCGCCCCUAUUUGAGCAGCCGCUUGUUCCUUCCGCGUCCUCGCUGCUCCUCAAUUCAAUUGGCUCCGUGCCGACCUCCAGGUUGA